rnacentral:misc_RNA from 1 species
UGCCACAGAAGUCCCAGGA